GGAAUAUUGCACAAUGAGCGAAAGCUUGAUGCAGCCAUACCGCGUGUGUGAAGAAGGCCUGAGGGUUGUAAAGCACUUUCAAUUGUGAGGAAGGUUCAGUAGUUAAUACCUGCUGUUCUUGACGUUAACUUUAGAAGAAGCACCGGCUAACUCUGUGCCAGCAGCCGCGGUAAUACAGAGGGUGCAAGCGUUAUUCGGAAUUACUGGGCGUAAAGCGCGCGUAGGCGGAUUAUUAAGUCAGUUGUGAAAGCCCUGGGCUCAACCUGGGAACUGCAUCUGAUACUGGUAGUCUAGAGUUUAAGAGAGGGAAGUGGAAUUCCAGGUGUAGCAGUGAAAUGCGUAGAUAUCUGGAGGAACAUCAGUGGCGAAGGCGACUUCCUGGCUUAAAACUGACGCUGAGGUGCGAAAGCGUGGGUAGCGAACGGGAUUAGAAACCCCGGUAGUCC
rnacentral:rRNA from 1 species